UACAGAGGCCUCGAGCGUUAGGCGGAAUCACUGGGCUUAAAGCGUGUGUAGGCGGAUGCCUAAGUACCUUGUGAAAUCCCACGGCUCAACCGUGGAACUGCUGGGUAUACUGGGUGCCUUGGGUCAUCUAGGGGCUGCCGGAACAAAUGGUGGAGCGGUGAAAUGCGUAGAUAUCAUUUGGAACGCCAACGGCGAAAGCAGGCAGCUGGGGAUGCACCGACGCUGAGACACGAAAGCCAGGGGAGCGAACGGG
rnacentral:rRNA from 1 species